UCGAGGGGUAUAAGUCUUCGGAUUUAGAGACCGGCGCACGGGUGCGUAACGCGUAUGCAAUCUGCCUUACACUAAGGGAUAGCCCAGAGAAAUUUGGAUUAAUACCUUAUAGUAUAUGACUGGGGCAUUCCAGACAUAUUAAAGUUCCAACGGUGUAAGAUGAGCAUGCGUCCCAUUAGCUAGUUGGUGUGGUAACGGCACACCAAGGCUAUGAUGGGUAGGGGUCCUGAGAGGGAGAUCCCCCACACUGGUACUGAGACACGGACCAGACUCCUACGGGAGGCAGCAGUGAGGAAUAUUGGUCAAUGGGCGCAAGCCUGAACCAGCCAUGCCGCGUGCAGGAUGAAGCAUCUAUGGUGUGUAAACUGCUUUUGUACGGGAAGAAACCCUGCCACGUGUGGCAGAUUGACGGUACCGUAAGAAUAAGGAUCGGCUAACUCCGUGCCAGCAGCCGCGGUAAUACGGAGGAUCCAAGCGUUAUCCGGAAUCAUUGGGUUUAAAGGGUCCGUAGGCGGUUUUAUAAGUCAGUGGUGAAAUCCGGCAGCUCAACUGUCGAACUGCCAUUGAUACUGUAGGACUUGAAUUAUUGUGAGGUAACUAGAAUAUGUAGUGUAGCGGUGAAAUGCUUAGAUAUUACAUGGAAUACCCAUUGCGAAGGCAGGUUACUAACAAUAUAUUGACGCUGAUGGACGAAAGCGUGGGGAG
rnacentral:rRNA from 1 species